CCUACGGGUGGCUGCAGUGGGGAAUAUUGGACAAUGGGCGAAAGCCUGAUCCAGCAUGCCGCGUGUGUGAAGAAGGCCUUCGGGUUGUAAAGCACUUUCAGUGGGGAAGAAAGCCUUGGGGCUAAUACCCUCGAGGAAGGACAUCACCCACAGAAGAAGCACCGGCUAACUCCGUGCCAGCAGCCGCGGUAAUACGGAGGGUGCGAGCGUUAAUCGGAAUUACUGGGCGUAAAGCGCGCGUAGGCGGUCUGAUAAGCCGGUUGUGAAAGCCCCGGGCUCAACCUGGGAACGGCAUCCGGAACUGUCAGGCUAGAGUGCAGGAGAGGAAGGUAGAAUUCCCGGUGUAGCGGUGAAAUGCGUAGAGAUCGGGAGGAAUACCAGUGGCGAAGGCGGCCUUCUGGACUGACACUGACGCUGAGGUGCGAAAGCGUGGGUAGCAAACAGGAUUAGAUACCCGAGUAGUC
rnacentral:rRNA from 1 species